UAAAUAAUCCACACGUUGAUGCUACCUGAAAAAUCACGUAACCCCGAUUUUCCCCUCGCUAGGCUCGUUUUACGUGACACACGUAAAAAUAAUGUGAAAGUGUACUGGCAAAAAAAUCUGUUCACGUUGAUGUUACGUGAAAAGCCUUACGAUAUUUUUCCACUAGGGUUUUUCAUGUAGUUCUUAUGUGUUUUGAAAUGUAACUUCAACGUAACUCGAGUGCGCCAUUCGGCGAAAUUUCUACGUGAUUGUUUUAGUAUGAAAAUUGCUGGCGUUCGGUGAAGAAUUGCUGCCGGACUUGUGGUCGCAAAAUUUUAUUGAAAAUGUAACAGAUGAUGUCUAGAAGAAGCACAUUCUGACCGGUGAUAUCACAAGCGGUGGCCUAAAGGACCCCUCGAAGGCGAUCCCAGGCGCAAUCUCGGUCAUCAUCCUUACGUCGCUUUCGUCCGUCGGAACGGCAAUUGUGGCCGAUGUUACUGUGGUGCCACCGGAAAUGUUUCGGACUUGGCCAACGGGUCAUGGACAAGGUCGUGGACCUAUGCCGAUUGUGCUCCGGAGAAGUACGAGUACGGAUUACACAACUCGUUCCAGGUCAUGGAGUUGGUGUCUGGUCCGAUCAUCUACGCCGAGUACGCCGAAAAAGGGUUUCUCCCCGGACAGCAGAAUCGGCAAACUAUGACCACAGAUCUCCGACGAAGAGACCAUUUUCAUGCAUAUCGCCAAAACAGCGCAGUCAUCAGUUUAUUUCCAGCAAGAGGCACGGCAUUACAAAGUGGGGACAGUGAAA